GAAAAACCCGCGGCGUGAGUAGGCCACGGAUGGCACUACUGCUGCACGAUUCGUCGGUAAGUCUCCAUUUUUCUCUGUACGUUUGGUCUAUUUGAUUCGUCUCACUAUUCUUGAUUUAGUGCAGUGUAGGUGGAAUUUCUUAGCCACGUGUCUUGUACUCUUGUAUCAUGUGCAAGUGGAGCUUGUCUCUCCCCUCUUACAUUGCCUUCUUUAUUUCUCACAUUGCUGGGAUUCAGAAUGAACAUGCAGAUAAGCAAACCAAAACAUGAUUGAUUAUUUCCCCAUGCUAAAAAUCAUUUUGUACUGAUGGCAGCAAUUGUAUAUGAUACAUUUGGAGACUCGAAGAAAAUAUUCCCCUGUAUUUGGGAAAUAAAUGAACAAAACAAUCAAGUAUUGCUGUGGAUUUUUGGGACAUUUGACACUUACAAAAAAGUGGUUUAUUAUGCGGGGAGUUUGGAAUCAUCACUCAACCGGUUUCUUAAUGGGGCAUGUUUCAGAUCAUGUUUCUUUUCGAGGUGUUAGAAAAGAAAGUUCAAGUUGUUUAAGUGUCUGAUUUGUGGAUUUGUGUAGCAGAGACUUUCUGAGGCUAGAAGGCACCUCUCUUAAUUGAUUAUGAUGUCAGACUUCAGAAACAAUGGAAAUAGUGAGAAACAAAGAAGUAUUUCAAGCAAACCAAUGGAUUCUAUUGUUACCAUUCCAUUCUCUCGAAGUUUAUGAAUGGCAUCAAAACUGACCUUCCUUGGUGGCGCAAUACUUCCAUGCAUCGUUGUCAUAUUUAAUUGGCCUUCUGAAAUCACUUUGCACAAACUAAUGUAGGUAGCUUGCUAUGAGUUUGUUUGAACCACUUGAUGGAUCUGAAGAGUUUCUGUUAAUGUUUCUAUUUUAUUGACUCGUGAGCAUUGAGCUGGUCAGUCACCAUUUCUGUAUACCUCUUGGGGACGUUAUAUUGUCCUGAACUAACAUCAUGUGCACAUCUAUUUUUUCGGUGGUGUCAACAACUGCUUUCAGAGUAGCUGACUGUGCUGCUUCUGCUUAAGAUUUCUGUCAUAUUGUUCUAUUCACGCAGUAGAACCAUUUGUAUAUGUACUGUUGUAGUUAUGCCAUCCGUUAAAUUUAGUAUGUUUCAUUUUCUACAGAUUCUCUAGGACUUCAAGGAAGAAUAUUGAGUCAAGAAAAAGGUGGAUGUCGUGAGGUCUGACUAGACCCUUCUCUGGCAAUCGGUUUGUUGUACUGUAUGAAAUGGUUACUCAGAGACCGUUAAUAUCACGAUGAUAUUGCCAGAUGUAGGCCUUGAUGGUUCAAUUGCUUAUUCUGUUAGAGACAUGUGGAAGAGAAAAUGAUCACUAGAUGGCUCAGAUCGUUCAGGUUCCCUCCUUUCAGGAUUGUUGGUGGAGCUCAUUGUGUUUGUGAAGGUACCUAAUAUUGUUGAUGAUCCAAACCCUCCCCUGCCCCAUCUACUACGACUUCGACAGUUAACACAAGGUUGCUUUCAUAUUUUGUUCCGAGCUUAUUUGAUCGUUUGGUUGACAAUCAGUGCUUCCAUCGUCCAGCUGGUAUGGCUUCCUUGCCUUCGCCCCAUGCUUUGCCAUCCCUACCAGUAGGAGCACAGCAGAAAUGUGAUGAUAGCCUCCGGCAACCAUGGCCAGAAAGUAGAUAUGCUACCCCCUCAAAUGUCUCCUUACUGUAAUUAGUUUAAGUGUUGUUGCUUACAACCUCCUCA